UCCGGUUUGGCACCGGCAGUCCCCCGAGAGUCCUCAGCGUUUUGCAACCUGUUAGCAACACGGGGCGGGGGUUGCGCUCGUUGCGGAACUUAACCCAACAUCUCACGACACGAGCUGACGACAGCCAUGCACCACCUGUGCACUAGUCCCGAAGGAGGACCGUAUUUCUACGGUUUUCUAGUGCAUGUCAAGCCCUGGUAAGGUUCUUCGCGUUGCAUCGAAUUAAACCACAUGCUCCGCUGCUUGUGCGGGUCCCCGUCAAUUCCUUUGAGUUUUAGCCUUGCGGCCGUACUCCCCAGGCGGGGUGCUUAAUGCGUUAGCUGCGGCACGGGGGGAGUCGACACCCCCCACACCUAGCAUCCAUCGUUUACGGCGUGGACUAC
rnacentral:misc_RNA from 1 species